rnacentral:tRNA from 1 species
GGGACUGUAGCUCAGUGGUAGAGCACUUGUCUCAUAUGUAUGAGGCACUGGGUUCCAACAUCAGUACCA